UUUUGCUCUCUCUUUUAUGAAAAAAUUGAAACCUAAACUUCAUCUCACUGAUGAAAUUGAUAUCCUUUUUUGACUUGCAUGUGAAUUCAAAUGGAUUGAAGGCUGGAAAAUCUCUCUCACCGAAUCGAUUGUGACCGGAAUCUCUCUCACCAACACUCAGAUAAGUUUCUCGACUCUCUUCAAAUUUUGUAGAUCAAUCGGUUAAUUAUGCUUGCUGAAUCGAUUUACUUGUGGAACGCCUUCGAAUUUGUUGCUGAUUAGUUAGGGUUGAUGAGUGAAUCGAUGAGGUGAAGUGGUGAACUCUCUAAAAAUUAAGCUGAUGCAUGAUUAAUUCCUUUUGAUGAAUCGAUUAGUGGUAGCGAUGUGAAGAUGGCUUUGGUUCUGGUGACAUCUAAAAUCCAUUACCCGAGAGAGUUGUGUCGAUUUCGCGAUUGAGGAGAGGAGUCUUCUCCGAAGAAAACUGAUUCAGAUCAAGGAGAAAAGAGAAGAUAUUAUUAUGUCAACGAGCACUGAAUCUUCUUCUCUUCCUACUCAAAGGGCUUAAAGGAUGCAUGGCACAAUCGUUAUGAGCAGAUGGGUUUGUAUGAGUAGAUGGGCUUAAAGGAUGCAUGGUACAAUCGUUAUUCCACAAAUGUAUUUUGAGAGAAGUAGAUAUUUUUGUGUCUUUGUAUUUGUAUGGCCGACACCACAAAAAGAUUUUUAUGGUUUUUUAUGUACUUACCACACAUGUUGGAGAUGGCUUUUUAUGAAUU